rnacentral:rRNA from 2 species
CGCGGCAAGACGGAAAGACCCCGUGAACCUUUACUAUAGCUUGACACUGAACAUUGAGCCUUGAUGUGUAGGAUAGGUGGGAGGCUUUGAAGCGUGGACGCCAGUCUGCGUGGAGCCGACCUUGAAAUACCACCCUUUAAUGUUUGAUGUUCUAACGUGGAUCCGUAAUCCGGGUUGCGGACAGUGUCUGGUGGGUAGUUUGACUGGGGCGGUCUCCUCCUAAAGAGUAACGGAGGAGCACGAAGGUUGGCUAAUCCUGGUCGGACAUCAGGAGGUUAGUGCAAUGGCAUAAGCCAGCUUGACUGCGAGCGUGACGGCGCGAGCAGGUGCGAAAGCAGGUCAUAGUGAUCCGGUGGUUCUGAAUGGAAGGGCCAUCGCUCAACGGAUAAAAGGUACUCCGGGGAUAACAGGCUGAUACCGCCCAAGAGUUCAUAUCGACGGCGGUGUUUGGCACCUCGAUGUCGGCUCAUCACAUCCUGGGGCUGAAGUAGGUCCCAAGGGUAUGGCUGUUCGCCAUUUAAAGUGGUACGCGAGCUGGGUUUAGAACGUCGUGAGACAGUUCGGUCCCUAUCUGCCGUGGGCGCUGGAGAACUGAGGGGGGCUGCUCCUAGUACGAGAGGACCGGAGUGGACGCAUCACUGGUGUUCGGGUUGUCAUGCCAAUGGCACUGCCCGGUAGCUAAAUGCGGAAGAGAUAAGUGCUGAAAGCAUCUAAGCACGAAACUUGCCCCGA